CUGAAAGCAAGUUUGAGAGCCACAGGACAUUCAGAUGCCUAUAAGGAUCACAGCUCCAGGAGUUGCCAGGAGGAUGCUUCAGUGACCUUUACGGCUGUGUGUCUAAAUAACAUCCGUCUAACCUCUUAAGCCACUGGACAUUGGAGCUGUGCUGUGACCAAGUAACUUUCCGAGAAGAAAGGAUGCCAGGAUCCGGGAACGUCAUAGUGGUUGGUUCUAAUUAUCCACUUAUGAUGACACAACUCUACUGGGUAGAGAGCCAAGAUGAAGGAUUAACUACAUCAACUCCUCAGCGAAGGACUUGCUAUACCAGCUUGGCCUCUAGUCACAUCUGUGGUGAGAUUGUCUUGGUUGCCUUAACUGAUGCAGGAAGACCCAUGCCAAAUGCACAGUGCCUUCAGGUAGGUGGGGCAGGGUAGGGGGGUGGAGGAAUGCAUAGCUUUCGCUUUUUGCCAGCUUG
rnacentral:lncRNA from 1 species